AAACCAUAUCUGAGGAGCAUCUCCUGAUCAUUUUCUUGUAUCUCUCCCAUGCCUCAUAGAGGGACUCUCCAUCUUUUUGUCUGAAGGUCUAAACAUAUACUCUAAGCUU